rnacentral:tRNA from 1 species
AAAGCUUUAUGUUAAACAAACAAACAGCCUUCAAAGUUGUCAAUAAAAGUCUAGUCUUUUAAGCUUUA